AUUGAACGCUGGCGGCAGGCUUAACACAUGCAAGUCGAGCGAGUGGCGGACGGGUGCGUAAUGCUUGGGAAUCUCUCUUAUAGCGGGGGAUAACUACUGGAACCUGGAGCUAAUACCGCAUACUAUAGGAUGAGCCCAUGUGGGAUUAGUUAGUUGGUGGGGUAAAGGCUCACCCAGCCGACGAUCUCUAGCUGGUCUGAGAGGAUGACCAGCCACACUGGGACGGAGACACGGCCCAGACUCCUACGGGAGGCAGCAGUGGGGAAUAUUGCGCAAUGGGCGCAAGCCGGAUGCAGCCAUGCCGCGUGAAUGAAGAAGGCCUUAGGGUUGUAAAGUACUUUCAGCGGGGAGGCGUUACCCGCAGAAGAAGCACCGGCUAACUCCGUGCCAGCAGCCGCGGUAAUUC
rnacentral:rRNA from 1 species